rnacentral:rRNA from 1 species
AGAGUUGAUCCUGGCUCAGGAUGAACGCUAGCGGCAGGCUAACACAUGCAAGUCGAGGGGCAGCGGGAUGUAGCAAUACAUUGCCGGCGACCGGCGGAUGGGUGCGUAACGCGUAUGCAACCUACCUUAUACAGGGGAAUAACCUUUCGAAAGGGAGACUAACACCCCAUGGUAUUGAUUUAAGGCAUCUUAGAUUAAUUAAAUAUUUAUAGGUAUAAGAUGGGCAUGCGUAUGAUUAGCUAGUUGGUAAGGUAACGGCUUACCAAGGCGACGAUCAUUAGGGGUUCUGAGAGGAAGGUCCCCCCACACUGGUACUGAGACACGGACCAGACUCCUACGGGAGGCAGCAGUGAGGAAUAUUGGUCAAUGGGCGCAAGCCUGAACCAGCCAUGCCGCGUGCAGGAAAGACGGCCUUAUGGGUUGUAAACUGCUUUUACAUAAGACUAACCGUAUAUUUGCGAAUAUACCUGAAUGUAUUAUGAGAAUAAGGAUCGGCUAACUCCGUGCCAGCCGCAGC